AUUAUUUGUGGCUAUUGUGAAGGGUGUUGUUUCCCUAAUUUCUUCUUAGGCCUGUUUAUACUUUGUUUAGAAAAAGGCCAUUGGAGCUAGAGAAAGUACCCAAGGAGCUAAAGGGAUCUGCAACCCUAUGGGUGGAGCAACAAUAUGAACUAACCAGUACCCUGGAGCUCUUGACUCUAGUGCAUAUGUAUCAAAAGAUGGCCUAGUCGGCCAUCACUGGAAAGAGAGGCCCAUUGGACAUGCAAACUUUAUAUGCCCCAGUACAGGGGCAUGCCAGGGCCAAAAAGUAGGAGUGGGUGGGUAGGGAAGUAGGGGGAGGGUAUGGGGGACUUUUGGGAUAGCAUUGGAAAUGUAAAUGAGGAAAAUACCUAAUUAAAAAAAAAAAGAAAAAGGCCAUUGACUUGUUUGAGUUAAUUUUAUAUCCAGCUACUUUGCUGAAGUUUACUAGGUUUAGGAGUUCUCUGAUGGAAUUUUUUUGGAUCACUUUUGUAUACUAUCACAUCAUCUACAAAAAGUGGCAUUUUGACGUCUUCCUUUCCAAUUUGUAUCCAUUUGCCCUCCUUUUGUUGUCUAAUUGCUCUGACUAGGACUUUGAGUACUAUAUUGAAUAGAUAGGGAGAGAGUGGGCAGUCUUGUCUAGUCCCUGAUUUGAGUAGGAUUGCUUUAAGUUCCUCUCCACUUAGUUUGAUGUUGUCUACUGGUUUGCUGUAUAUUGCUUUUACUAUAUUUAGGUGUCAACCUUAAAUUCUUGAUCUUUCCAAGAUUUUACCAUGAAGAAGUGUUGGAUUUUGUUGAAUGCUUUCUCAGCAUCUAAUGAAAUGAUCAUGUUUUUGUUUUGUUUUGUUUGUUUUGUGAGUUUGUUUAUAUGGUGGAUUACAUUGAUGGAUUUCCAUAUAUUGAACCAUCCCUGCAUCUCUUGAAUGAAGCCUACUUGGUCUUGAUUUGGGAAUUUAUUGGUCAGAUGAAUAGUCUACUGGAAGAAGUAGCUCAUUAAAUGAGCAGAAGAGUGACAUCUCUUUGUUUCCUGGUUCCAUUUUCUGCUGGUACUUUUGAGAAUUUUGUAGACUGCAGUUUGAGCAUAGUCAACGCCCUUUCCAAAGUUCUCCUACCCCUCCUCAACCUACCCAACUCAGAUGUCUUUUUACAAACAAAACAAAACCCAUGGAUUCCAAUUUGUACUGUUUGUAUACUAUUGGAUAAAUGGCCAUCCACUUGAACAUGAUCUCUUACACGCAUUCUCGCGACCGGCCAGGAAAGACGCAACAAACCGGAAUCUUCUGCGGCAAAAGCUUUAUUGCUUACAUCUUCAGGAGCAAGAGAGCAAGAGAGCAAGAGCUUUAUUGCUUACAUCUUCAGGAGCAAGAGAGAGAAUGGCGAAACCCCGUCCCUUUUUAAGGAGAAUUAUCCUCCGCCUAGGACGUAUCACUCCCUGAUUGGCUGCAGCCCAUCAGCCAAGUUGUCGUCACAGGGAAGGCAGAGCACAUGGAGUGGAGAACUACCCUUGGCACAUGCGCAGAUUAUUUGUUUACCAAUUAGAACACAGGAUGUCAGCGCCAUCUUGUAACAGCGAAUGUGAGGGCGGCUCCCCACAAUGAUCCAGAUGACACACACUUUUAAAGAAAACUGACUCUAUCUCUCUUACUCAACCAGCAGCUAUUAGUUGUCAAUAGCUCCUUAUCUAGGAAAUGCUAGAAUUUGGUCUAUCUUGAGCUUACAUAAUUCAUGUGCAUGUGCAUGCUGCCACAAGCACCUUGAGUUCAUAUGUAUAGUUACUCUACUAUGUCUGGAAGCCACUCUUUUCUUAUAGUUUUCUACUGUCGAUAAUUCUUACAAUCUUUCAAAAAAAUACAUAUUAUUUUUCAACAUUUUUAUGUUUCUUGUUUCUUCCUAAAGUAGGAAUGAGA